rnacentral:tRNA from 1 species
GGCGCCAUGGCUUAGAUGGUAAAGUGCCUGUCUAGUAAACAGGAGAUCCUGGGUUCAAAUCCCAGUUGUGCCU